rnacentral:rRNA from 1 species
GGGNNAUGGGGGGCGUGCCUAAUACAUGCAAGUCGAGCGAAUCUGAGGGAGCUUGCUCCCAAAGAUUAGCGGCGGACGGGUGAGUAACACGUGGGCAACCUGCCUGUAAGACUGGGAUAACUUCGGGAAACCGGAGCUAAUACCGGAUAAUCCUUUUCCUCUCAUGAGGAAAAGCUGAAAGAUGGCUUCGGCUAUCACUUACAGAUGGGCCCGCGGCGCAUUAGCUAGUUGGUGAGGUAACGGCUCACCAAGGCGACGAUGCGUAGCCGACCUGAGAGGGUGAUCGGCCACACUGGGACUGAGACACGGCCCAGACUCCUACGGGAGGCAGCAGUAGGGAAUCUUCCGCAAUGGACGAAAGUCUGACGGAGCAACGCCGCGUGAGUGAUGAAGGUUUUCGGAUCGUAAAACUCUGUUGUUAGGGAAGAACAAGUACCGUUCUAAUAGGGNGGUACCUUGACGGUACCUAACCAAAAAGCCACGGCUAACUACUUGCCACCACCCCCGUUAAUACUUAGGUGGCAAGCGUUUUCCGGAAUUACUGGGCGUAAAGCCCCCCCAGGUGGUUUUUUAAGUCUGAUGUGAAAGCCCCCGGCUCAUCCUGGGA